rnacentral:rRNA from 1 species
GUAGGUGGCAAGCGUUGUCCGGAAUUAUUGGGCGUAAAGCGCGCGCAGGCGGGUUCUUUAAGUCUGAUGUGAAAGCCCACGGGCUCAACCGUGGAGGGUCAUUGGAAACUGGAGAACUUGAGUACAGAAGAGGAAAGCGGAAUUCCACGUGUAGCGGUGAAAUGCGUAGAGAUGUGGAGGAACACCAGUGGCGAAGGCGGCUUUCUGGUCUGUAACUGACGCUGAGGCGCGAAAGCGUGGGGAGCAAACAGGAUUAGAUACCCUGGUAGUCCACGCCGUAAACGGUGAGUGCUAAGUGUUAGGGGGUUUCCGCCCCUUAGUGCUGCAGCUAACGCAUUAAGCACUCCGCCUGGGGAGUACGGCCGCAAGGCUG